rnacentral:tRNA from 1 species
ACCUGGCUAGCUCAGUAAGUAAAGCAUGUGACUCUUGAUCUCAGGGUUGUGAGUUCAAGCCCCACAUUGGGUG